CGCAAUCCCGGCCCCUUGCGCCUCCAGCCCCCACCCCGCGGCCCCGGCAGGUGCCCGGCUUGGACGAGUCUCGGCGCGUCAUCUGGGAAAACCCUGAGAUCCCGAGGGGGCUCGACCGGGCGGAUCCCGCGGCAGGGUUAGAAGUGCGCUCCUGAGACCCGGGUUCAGGUCUGACUUGGCAGCAUUGUAGUCGGGGUGACCUUGGGCAAGUCGGUGACACCCUGAGCCUCCGUUUCCGCCUGUGCGAGAGCGGCGAUAACAGCACUGCCCCGCCCCGCCCCGCGGAGCUGAUGAGAUCGGGAGCCGGGCGUCGGCGGGAGGCAGUGGAGUAGAAAUCAUGGGUUUUGGACUCCCAGGCACGGGUGUGAAUGCCGACUCUCCGCUCACUGGCUGAAUGACCUUGGAGACGUUGCUGAGCAGCUCUGAGCUUACCUGUGCCUUGGGGCAGUGAGAUCUGCUCCUGAAUGAACUCCCCAAGGGGCCUUCCCGGUCAUGGACCCCAGCGAGUCUCUGCACAGCCCUCCUGCCACCAAUGCCUGGCUUCCUGACUCUUUCCAGUGCAGCUCUCCCUCCACACUGUCCGUCCCUCCUGAGCAUCUUAUUCCCUGCUGCAUUCCUGAGGCAUAGCCCAGAGCCACGCAUACAGUAGGUGCCCAGUAACUAUUCGAGGAAUGAGCAGAGGAAGGAGGAAAGCAUGCCACAGACAGGGAUGAAGCCACUCUUCCCAUUCCAGCCUCCAGGCCCCAGGAUGACUCAGACAUGGUCCUCACAUACAAGGAGUUUGUGGCUUAGUCAGGGAGCCUGACAAACAGCCCAAGAAUCACAAAACUCUAUAUGGGGUGUUAUAAAUAGAUGCAUGAGCAGGAGUCCCAGGAAGGGGCCCCACUCCACCUGGGUGGGGCUAAGGAAGCAUCUCAGAUGAGGUGACCUUGACAUAGGGCCUUUAAGGCCCAGUAGGAGCUUGCCAGGCAGAGACAAGAGAGAGCAACCCUGGAAAAACUGCAGAGCCUGGCCGGGCGUAAAGGCCACACGGAGGCCCGGCCGUGCUGCAGUGCAGAGUGCUGGGGCGGGGGGCACAGCUGGGGGUGCCAUCAACAUUCAACUUCUGCCUCCAAGGGGCACACUCAGGCCGGGGACGCCACAGACUCUCAGAAAAUGGAAAAGCCGGUGCACAUGGGUUCCACUAGGCUGCCUGUUGCUGACUCCUAAGAGAAAAGUUACAAAUGCAUCUCUCGGCAAAUGCUGGGAAUUGGAGGCUCAGGAGGGGAAGAGAGUGGCCCCAGUAGGUAUGGGUAUGACUGGGCUGGAGCGAGAGGAUGGUCAAACCCAGGACAGGGGUAGCUCAUUCAUUCAUUCAUUGAACAGAUCCUCAUCGGCACUUGCUGUGCACCCAGCAGUGGGGCCACAGCACUGGACAAGGCAGAGGCAGCUCCUUGUACGCAGGGAAGUACGUCCUGGGAGACCAAGCAGACAUGCAGAAUGCCUAAGUGAGAUGACGACGUCGGGCAUGACAAAUGCUGUGGAGGCACCAAGGAAUGUGUCUGAGGGUGAGGGCUGUCAUUUUAAAGAGGGAGGUCAGGAAAAGCCUCCUGGAAGAUGACACAUGAGCAGAAACCUGAGGAGGUGAGGAAGAGGAAGAGCCCUCCAGGUGGAGGGCCAGCAUGUGCAAAGGCCCCGAGGUGGAUGGCUCUUGGGAGAAGCAAGGUGACCAAUGUGGCUGAGUGGUGGGAGGUGAGGGGCCCUGUUCUAUACACUGCACACAUGUUCACUCAGCCAUCCCAGCAGUCUCACACCCACAUGGUGGCACACCCCAGGUACAUACCCACAUGCUUACGAGCAAAACGGGGUGCACAAGCAGGUGCACAAAAGCAGAGUGGCCACACAGUGUGGCCACGUCCACAAACAACCCCACGCACAGCCAGGCACACCUGGUGUGUUAGCCACAGUUGGCUGGCCCACAGCGCCCUCUAGUGCGCAGGCCCGGCACAGCGGUGCUCUGGGUGCUCUGCACAGGAUCUAUCACCUUCUGUGCUGGACCGUCCAGCCUCCCGGUCUCUAUGCCCCUUGCCCCCAGCCCUUCCACCCUGCAGCCAAACAGAGAGGCUCCCAAGACAGGGCUGUCGUGUUCCAACACUCUAGCCCUCCCGGUGUCUCCAGACGCCCCAGCCCAGCUGCUCCCAGCCCGAGCCUUCACCUUGAAGCUUUCUUUGCAAAGGCUGUUUGUUCUCGUGGCCAAGAAUGCCCUCCCUGUCUUCUCCGCUUGACUCAUUCCCACCCCACUGCCCACCCUGCCAGCGCCCUGCGCAUGCCCUCAUCACAGAUCAUCUCUGCUUUGUCAGUGGCCAGAACCUGUAGGAUUUGUGCUGCUCCAAAGCAAGGGCAGGGGCUGGCUCCCCGAGCCCAGCACUGGCUGUGCUACAGGUGGAGCCUGGGGAAGGGUGAGUGUCCCUAGAUAAGUUUGGAGGCAAGUGGUAGCUGGUACUCGAGGUCUGGCUCUGAAGCUGCAAUAGACGGGAGAAGCCAUAAGGGCUCACUUGCUUAUCUUAUCUUACUUAUUUUGCAGUACUAGCUAUUGAACCCAGGGCCUCACACAGACUGGGCAAGUGCUCUAUCACUAAGCUACCCUCCCAGCCUUAUUUAAAUUAAUUUGCAAUGAGGUCUCACUGAGUCUCCCAGGCCUUGAACUUGCAACCCUCCUGCCUUAGCCUUCCAAGUAGCUGGGAUUACACCACAUACCUGCUAUUUUUUAAAUGGCCACCAAUCUUGAAUAUCAAAGGAUGAAUUCAUACAAGUGACAUGGCUCUACCUGCAAAGCAGCCAGUAGCACAUUCACAGCCCCUGCUGUAUGCCAAUCCCUCGAAGCGCAUCCUCUGUGGGCUCACUGCAGUGUCCACACACAGUAGAUGCUCAGCAGACAUUUGUGGACUGGAGGGAAGCUCCCAGUACCUCAUCAAGGAGCACGCUGUGAUCGUGUCCAUUUAGCAGAAAGGAAAACAGGGUCAGAGGGAUGUUGGAAUGUGCACAAGGCUGCUAUUGUUCAAACACCAAGCUGUCAAGUGGAAAGUUUUCCCUACCCUUUCCUGUGCCUGCUUCCAUUAAAAUGGUCCCAACACUGGUUCUGAGCAAGA